GCUGGGGCUCUAGUAAUUCAUGAAGGAUGUUCACAUUCUUUCCCAGGCUUGUUUUUCUCUCACAGAAGCUUUGACUAAAACCCCAAGAAUGAUUUUGUGAUUUGACGCUGGCCAACAACUAAGCACCACACAGACACUCCCACUUCUCCCCUCUCCCUGAGGGGAAGAGAAUUGGAAGAGUAAAACUGGCACCUUCAGCUCAGCUCGGCUUGGAGUGGUUGGUGUUGUCAGAAGCAACUUUUGCUCUCCUCUCAGCAGAAGUGAUGUGAAAAACAUGGCAGAAGGGAGAAGAUGAGCUAAAUAAGCUUCUAACCAGCUAAUAAGGGUAAGUUCAAAAAUACAGCAGGGCUUGAAUGUCUGAAAAGCAAACUAAUGCUCACAUGUCCUGAGAGGGGCUUGCUGUACUGUUUGGCCUUGGCAGAACUAUGUAGGUGGAUAACUCAUUUCACAAAGAUACUGCUCCCCUUCUGUCAGACAAACGUAUGCCAUCAGGAAAGAAUCUCUAACAUUUAUGAACUGCAGACUCGCAUUUUUCAGCCUUUGCUGGUAUUUUAUAUAUACUGAUAAAGUAAUAAAUAGAAUAUUCA